rnacentral:rRNA from 1 species
GAUGAACGCUGGCGGCGUGCCUAAUACAUGCAAGUCGCGCGAACGGACGAGAAGCUUGCUUCUCUGAUGUUAGCGGCGGACGGGUGAGUAACACGUGGAUAACCUACCUAUAAGACUGGGAUAACUUCGGGAAACCGGAGCUAAUACCGGAUAAUAUUUUGAACCGCAUGGUUCAAAAGUGAAAGACGGUCUUGCUGUCACUUAUAGAUGGAUCCGCGCUGCAUUAGCUAGUUGGUAAGGUAACGGCUUACCAAGGCAACGAUGCAUAGCCGACCUGAGAGGGUGAUCGGCCACACUGGAACUGAGACACGGUCCAGACUCCUACGGGAGGCAGCAGUAGGGAAUCUUCCGCAAUGGGCGAAAGCCUGACGGAGCAACGCCGCGUGAGUGAUGAAGGUCUUCGGAUCGUAAAACUCUGUUAUUAGGGAAGAACAUAUGUGUAAGUAACUGUGCACAUCUUGACGGUACCUAAUCAGAAAGCCACGGCUAACUACGUG